AUGUCGAAGUGAGGACGUGCUGGGUCCUCUGGUGUGAAAUUCCAGGUUUCCCUGGUCCUUCCGAUAGGAGCCGUGAUCAACUGUGCUGACAACACAGGAGCCAGAAACCUAUACAUGACCAAGGGAUAAUUGAACAGAAUUCCCACUGCUGGUAUGGGUGACAUGGUGAUGGCCACAGUUAAAAAAGGCAAACAAGAGCUUAGAAAAGGGCCGGGCAUGCUCAGAAAAAAGGUACAUCCAGCAGCGGUAAUUCGACAACGAAAGUUGUACCAGAGAAAAGAUGGUGUGUUUCUUCAUUUUGAAGAUAAUGCAGGAAUUAUAGUGAACAACAAAGGUGAGAUGAAAUGUUCUGCCAUUACAGGACCCGUUGCAAAGGAGUGUGCAGACUUGCGGCCCAGGAUUGCGUCCAAUGCUGGCAGCAUUGAAUGAUUCUCCAGUAUAUUUG